GCCGAAGUGGUGGAAUGGCAGACACGCUAGAUUCAGGGUCUAGUGGAGGCAACUCCGUGGGGGUUCAAAUCCCCCCUUCGGCA
rnacentral:tRNA from 2 species